rnacentral:tRNA from 1 species
GCUUCGAUAGCUUAAAAGGUAAAGCACAGAAUUGAAGAUUCUGGGUAGUUGGUUCGAUUCCAGCUCGAGGCA